rnacentral:sRNA from 1 species
AGCCACACCGCUGCAUACAUUUCUUUUCCUUCGCAACGCAGCUGUAGACAAGUUCACUUUUCUCGCGCUCCCGCAACUAAUAAAUGCAUAAAAUGAUUGUGAGGUAUUGGUGAACGUGUUAAAAGCCUGGAAAAUAAAUUGAAAAUGUGUUGCAUCUGGCUGUGAUGCACUGAAAAACCACGCGCACGUGUUGCCUGGAUUAGUAAGCCGGAAAUGUCCACGUGUUGGCGCGCAUCAUUGGUUCUGUUCACCAUGCUUGAGGUGAGUUAAGAUCUGCUGCGGUUGCAGACCACAGGCAAGUGAGGUGUUGUCUAUGGAAAGAGAUAAGCCGGCGGUUCAUCAAGCAGAUCUUUAAGUAUGCCGCAACUUUUAAUGGAUCCGAUGAGAUGUCGAAAAUGUCUGCUCCGAAGCAUUUUAAGCCCGUGCAGAUUGGAAGUGAACUGUCAUUAACUCGCCUCGGCUUUACUUGGCUGGCUGGCACAAACAAUUCUCGAAAUUGAUAAAAACUGUGCCAGUCGAAUGUGUCGAAAAUGAUUUAAAAGUCUUGUACAGAAUAAAUUUGAAUAAAAAUGCUGCUUGAUAUUUUUUAUAAUAACGUGAUAUAAUUUAUUUUGUAUUUCAUAUCAUAGACAUUUACUUUUUUUUUUGUUUGGGUUAUUUGUAACGCUACAAAUCUUGUCGCAUUUGGGUCUUGCCUUUUUAAAUAUAUAAGAAUAAUUUUGCUUGUAAAUGUUUUGAAUUUAAUAUGUUUUGGUAUUUGUAAAUUUAUACUCGUAUCAUAUGAUAUACAUAUAUAUGUGCGCAUAUAAAUACAUAUAUAUUUAUUUACAUAUAUAUGUGUAAGUGUUAAUGCGCUUCUGCGUAAUACCCUCAAUAGACCCUGCACAACAACCGAAAACCAAAUCAAAACCGUUCGAACGAGGCUAUUUGGGCCUCCCCACUAUGUAUGCAUAUAUAUAUAUAUAUAUUUGGAUAUAUCUCGAUAUCGACUGUUAGAAGCUGCUUCCGUUUCCGCUCUACGCACAUGAAUAUUAUGCUGAAACAUUUGAUUGAAAGCGCGACAAUAAUAUUGUAUACAAAUCUAGAUUCUAUAUAUACUGAGAGAGAGAGACAUAUAUAUGUUGUAUUUGUUUAGCGUUAUAAAAUUUGUGACUACAAGUGGAUAGACAACAUUUAUAAAAUUUUCUUUCUGUGAAAUAUUCAUAGUUAUUCAUACAUAUUUGAUUUAUGCUUUAACAAACAUAUAGAACUCUACAACUAAUCAAUAAAUAAAAAUAAAUUCAAUUCAACUCUGUUUAUGCAAUGUCUGAAAGCGGUUCAGUCAUAUCGAGCAUUAUAUUCUCUGCGAAAUGGAACUUAAACAAAUAAAUAAAUAAAAAAAAAUAGGUUCCAAUAUUCAUUUUUUAACAUCAAUGACGAUUAGAAAAUGGAUUUUCAAUUACGGCUCAAAGAGUUAUACGCAUACGAAUAUAUAGAUAUCAAUUCCGUGUGGAAGUCUGAUUGAUAUAUGAGAAGUGCAAUAUACACUAUAUAUAUUUAUAGUGUAGCUUGUAAACCAAGUCAAGAUGUGUCAACAUUUCUCUCAGAUGUUUUUGUGAAUUUAUUUUCAAUUUUGUUUUAUAAGUGUAAUCGUAUAGGUGUUUUUAUAAAACAAUAAGGAAUCAACAAUAUUCAUAAAAUGUAUCAUUAUAGAAUAUAUGAU